rnacentral:misc_RNA from 1 species
GAUGAAGAACGCAGCGAAAUGCGAUAAGUAAUGUGAAUUGCAGAAUUCAGUGAAUCAUCGAAUCUUUGAACGCACAUUGCGCCCUCUGGUAUUCCGGGGGGCAUGCCUGUUCGAGCGUCAUUAUAACCACUCAAGCUCUCGCUUGGUAUUGGGGUUCGCGGUUUCGCGGCCCCUAAAAUCAGUGGCGGUGCCUGUCGGCUCUACGCGUAGUAAUACUUCUCGCGAUUGAGUUCGAUAGGUCUACUUGCCAGUAACCCCCAAUUUUUACAGGUUGACCUCGGAUCAGGUAGGGAUACCCGCUGAACUUAAGCAUAUCAAUAAGCGGAGG